rnacentral:rRNA from 1 species
GUCCACGCGUAAACGAUGAGUGCUAAGUGUUGGAGGGUUCCGCCCUUCAGUGCUGCAGCUAACGCAUUAAGCACUCCGCUGGGGAGUACGACCGCAAGGUUGAAACUCAAAGGAAUUGACGGGGGCCCGCACAAGCGGUGGAGCAUGUGGUUUAAUUCGAAGCAACGCGAAGAACCUUACCAGGUCUUGACAUCCUUUGACCACUCUAGAGAUAGAGCUUUCCCUUCGGGGACAAAGUGACAGGUGGUGCAUGGUUGUCGUCAGCUCGUGUCGUGAGAUGUUGGGUUAAGUCCCGCAACGAGCGCAACCCUUAUUGUUAGUUGCCAUCAUUCAGUUGGGCACUCUAGCGAGACUGCCGGUGACAAACCGGAGGAAGGUGGGGAUGACGUCAAAUCAUCAUGCCCCUUAUGACCUGGGCUACACACGUGCUACAAUGGGAAGUACAACGAGUCGCUAGGCCGCGAGGUCAUGCAAAUCUCUUAAAGCUUCUCUCAGUUCGGAUUGCAGGCUGCAACUCGCCUGCAUGAAGCCGGAAUCGCUAGUAAUCGCGGAUCAGCACGCCGCGGUGAAUACGUUCCCGGGCCUUGUACACACCGCCCGUCACACCACGAAAGUUUGUAACACCCGAAGUCGGUGAGGUAACCUUUUGGAGCCAGCCGCCUAAGGUGGGAUAGAUGAUUGGGGUGAAGUCGUAACAAGGUAACCAAGGGCGAAUUCCAG